GAUGAACGCUGGCGGCGUGCCUAAUACAUGCAAGUCGAGCGAACAGACGAGGAGCUUGCUCCUCUGACGUUAGCGGCGGACGGGUGAGUAACACGUGGAUAACCUACCUAUAAGACUGGGAUAACUUCGGGAAACCGGAGCUAAUACCGGAUAAUAUAUUGAACCGCAUGGUUCAAUAGUGAAAGACGGUUUUGCUGUCACUUAUAGAUGGAUCCGCGCCGCAUUAGCUAGUUGGUAAGGUAACGGCUUACCAAGGCGACGAUGCGUAGCCGACCUGAGAGGGUGAACGGCCACACUGGAACUGAGACAGGGUCCAGACUCUUACGGUGGGAAGCAGUAGGGAAUCCUCCGCAAUGGGCGAGAGCCUGACGGAGCAACGCCGCGUGAGUGAUGAAGGUCUUCGGAUGGGAAAACUCUGUUAGUAGGGAAGAACAAAUGUGUAAGUAACUAUGCACGUCUUGACGGUACCUAAUCAGAAAGCCACGGCUAACUACGUG
rnacentral:rRNA from 1 species